rnacentral:rRNA from 1 species
CCCUUAGACGUUCUGGGCCGCACGCGCGCUACACUGACGAAGGCAACGAGCUUUCCUUUACCGAAAGGUACGGGUAAUCUUUUGAAACUUCGUCGUGCUGGGGAUAGACCCUUGCAAUUUUUGAUCUUAAACGAGGAAUGCCUAGUAAGCGCAAGUCAUCAACUUGCGUUGAUUACGUCCCUGCCCUUUGUACACACCGCCCGUCGCUACUACCGAUUGAAUGGUUUAGUGAGGCCUUCGGAUCCGCGACUCGUUUGUGGAGAAGUUGGACAAACUCAGUCAUUUAGAGGAAGUAAAAGUCGUAACA